rnacentral:rRNA from 1 species
ACGGAAGGCAGCAGUGAGGAAUAUUGGUCAAUGGGCGAGAGCCUGAACCAGCCAAGUCGCGUGAAGGAUGAAGGUUCUAUGGAUUGUAAACUUCUUUUGUUCGAGGGUAAAGUGAGGGAUGCGUCCCUUAUUGCAAGUAUCGAACGAAUAAGCAUCGGCUAACUCCGUGCCAGCAGCCGCGGUAAUACGGAGGAUGCGAGCGUUAUCCGGAUUUAUUGGGUUUAAAGGGUGCGUAGGCGGGAUGUUAAGUCAGCGGUGAAAGCGCGUAGCUCAACUAUACCAAGCCGUUGAAACUGGCGUUCUUGAGUGUAAACGAGGUAGGCGGAAUGUGACGUGUAGCGGUGAAAUGCUUAGAUAUGUCACAGAACCCCGAUUGCGAAGGCAGCUUACCAGCAUACAACUGACGCUGAGGCACGAAAGUGCGGGGAUCAAACAGGAUUAGAUACCCUGGUA